UGCCUUUUAUGGGCUCAGCUCUCUGCGUGCUGUCCUGCAGUGCAAAAAAGACAAGCUGACUCUUGCAGUGAGGACCAGCUCCCUACUUUAUGCUUCCUCUCAUGAGUGAAAAAGUUCAGCAUGAACCCUGACAAGCCUAAGUGAUUUGAGGUUUGCAGCUGCAACAGUGCACCAAAAAAACCCCCUAACUGAACUUCGUGAGAAUGUUAUCCUGCAACAAAUCACACACAGAAUGAUGAGAUAUAUGGCUGUGUCCUUGAAUCUUUGUUGUACAUCAGCUUCUCUCCACGCAAACCCACCACAAAGAAAGGUGCUGAGACAACACCACUAACUUCCCUUACCAGCAUUCCACUUGGGUUGCAAAGCACUGUGACGUUUGAGACCGUGUGAUGCUGGGUGAGGUACAGGCACAUAAAAAAUAACAGUCUUGCAUUCUAAUUAGCAGAAGCUAUGAGUGGUGAGGAUGACAAGAAAAGGAUGAAAGAGCAACACAUGUAAAGGAUGAUGUAGUGAGCAACUGAGUGGUUCCAAAUAAUUUCCUGGGCUGUGGGAAGUUUUGCAGUUGACUGCUGUUUGAUUGAUACUAAUAAGUAUUACAGCAAAACAACCUGAAGAAACAAUCCUAGAACAAAUUGAAGAAAGAAGAGCUAAUAGGUAGAGGACAAUUAUCCACGAUAUGCAAAGGAAUAUUUUAUUAUGCUACUAUCUCCUUGAAAAUUGAUUGUGCUAAAUAAGUUAUUGGUUGAAAAAUAAUGACAGAUAGCAAUGAAUGCUCAUACUAAGUACACGCAGGAUGGAAGCAGGCCUUAGCAGUUUUGUGUGUCGAGCCUUCGGAUCUUCCAUGUGACUUGCCAGGAGAGACCCCUAAGAAAAUAGUUACUGCUCAUGGUAAGGUAGUUGGGGAGCAUCAACCAAUAUGGGAAAAUCUCUCACUAGUUAAGCAAAUUAUAGACAAUGCUGCUCCAGUAUCUUCUAUUCUUUCAAGCUGAGGACUUCACAGCACAGGCAAUAACAGAUGUUCUUGAUCUGUAAUUUGACAGUCAACAUCACAAGACUACACAUCACUUCCACACCAAUCCAUCUGUUGAGAUAAGAAUUUGUGCUUCCCGUGGUGCACUGCCUCUGCCAUAAGUGACUUCAGGAAAUUUCAAACUUCAUUUUGAGCCAGACUCAAAUCAA